UUACGGCCAAAUCAGGUUGAAACGCCGUUUUCCGUACAGUCACCGACGUUAAACAACAUCGAGCCUGGUCAGUACUUAGAUAGGUGACCCCUUGGGGAUACCAGCUGCUGUAAG